rnacentral:rRNA from 1 species
GAUGAACGCUGGCGGCGUGCCUAAUACAUGCAAGUCGAGCGAACAGACCAGGAGCUUGCUCCUCUGACGUUAGCGGCGGACGGGUGAGUAACACGUGGAUAACCUACCUAUAAGACUGGGAUAACUUCGGGAAACCGGAGCUAAUACCGGAUAAUAUAUUGAACCGCAUGGUUCAAUAGUGUAAGACGGUUUUGCUGUCACUUAUACAUGGAUCCGCGCCGCAUUAGCUAGUUGGUAAGGUAACGGCUUACCAAGGCAACGAUGCGUAGCCGACCUGAGAGGGUGAACGGCCACACUGGAACUGAGACACGGUCCAGACUCCUACGGGAGGCAGCAGUAGGGAAUCUUCCGCGAUGGGCGGAAGCCUGACGGAGCAACGCCGCGUGGGUGAUGAAGGUCUUCGGAUCGUAAAACUCUGUUAUUAGGGAAGAACAAAUGUGUAAGUAACUAUGCACGUCUUGACGGUACCUAAUCAGAAAGCCACGGCUAACUACGUG